UAGAAGUUCCCUAGCGUGUCCUAGUAGGAAAGCGUGCGGCACUGCUGGACUGCCUUCUGAAGUCAGUCGACUGCCUACCAUCGAACGAUGUACUGGAGUCUGUCGGACACUCGAGCGAAAUUUGUGCGGUUCGCGAUUUAUAUAUCGUAGAUAUAUUCACGUUCGUACAUGAGCGAGAUCCUCGGAGAUUUGUCUAGUUCGUCCUAGAACGGACUGCGGCCUUUAGAAGAGAUUAGCUAGCUGCUUGCUAGUCUGAUAGAGGAUUUGCAAAAUGCAAAAUUGGAACCAAUGGCAGUUGUCAGCCGGCGCUGUUACGACCUCAGUGCCGCAGCCGCCAGUUAAUUACACUGCAGCACCAGGCGCAGAUCCUAUGGCCCUCAUGCAGAGCUAUAUGCAAUAUUAUAAUCAACCAACGCCUAGUGGAUACACACAGGAGCAAUGGGCUGCUGCCCAACAACAAGGUUGGUCUCAGUGGCAACAAUGGCAACAACAGUAUCAACAGUGGCAAGCACAGUAUGGUGAUAAGUAUCAAGAGACGAUGAAACAAUUAUCGACACAGAAUAUGAACUUCACCGGCCAAGCACAACUUCCACCAAAUGUGCAGCUACCGCCUCUUCCUAAAGAGGAUGCACGACCUCCCUUACCACCCGCUACUACAAAUACAUAUCAGUUUGCUAUGCCACCCCCUCACCAAAACAAUCUUCCGUUAUUCCCCGCAAAAGAAUCCGCGAGCAACGUAGUGCCUCAACCAAACGCGACAAAUCACCCUGUAAACCCACCUCUGCCUACGAGUCAGCCACCAUUGCCAUCCGAAAUUGGUGAAAAUAGAGAGAAUAUUUCGGCCGAAAAAUGUGAUAAUAAUGUAAUCAGUGAAUCCAGCGGUGAUAAAAAGUUGAAACCCGAAGAAGACGAGUUGACCGAGGCUGAGAGGACAUUUGAUGAGCAAUUCAAACAGUGGGAAGAGCAGUUUAACAAGUGGAAACAACAGAACGCUAAUCAUCCAGACAAGACGCAAUACAAACAGUAUGAAGCAAAAUGGACAUCGUGGCGCGAGAAGUUGUUAGAACGACGCGAACAGAUGCGUAAAAAACGCGAGCAACAGAAACAAGCCGCCGCAAAAGUCGUGGCCGAAAAGAAUAAGAAUAUAUCUGGCAACGAUAAAAUACUGAACAUAUUAUCGAAUACCGAAAAUCAGGGAUUGAUCAAUAAUCUGUUAGGUAUCGGGAAAACUUUGGGCUUGACUGGAAAGCAGAACGCCGCUGCACCUCUACCACCUCCGCCACCGCCGCCGCCUCCACCGCCAGAAAAUACAAAUUCUAGUAAUCAGCCUACAACUCAAGUGCCGCAGCAAAAUUUGAUGCAGGCAAACAUGACGACGCCUAAUGUUGCUUUACCUUGGCAAAAUCAGCAGCAAUGGGGAAAUCAACAUUAUAAUCCUAGAAUGGAAGUGCCGGGAUAUGGUCCUGGGAUGCCUUCAAUGCCUGUAGCGCCAAUGGUUGGUGUUUCUCCAAAUUUCACACAACCGCCACCAAAUCUACCGCACAACAUCACGCCAAACUUCUCGCAGCCUCCACCGAAUUUCUCUAAUGGUAAUCGACCACCGUUGCAGAAUGUGAGAGCACCAGGUCCGGCGAAUAUAAAAGAUCAACCUUCGUUCGGCUCAACUGACCCUUCAAACACGGAUGCGCGUUUUAUGCCGAACGAUCGAUCGAUUCAUAAUUUUGGCGGGCAGUCCAACUUCCGAAGAGACGAUCAAGAACGACGAGAUACCAGUACCAAUCCAAACUUGAACGAACAGGAUCAAUUUAAACCUACUGAUACUUUUGGCGCGCGAGGCGAUGUCUUUAAUGACAGGGCCGGAGCGCAACGUUUUAGAAAAGACGAUAGAAAUUAUAAUGAUUUCGGAAAUAAUCAAUUGAAUCCGCAGAGUAAUUUCAAUUUGGGUAACGACCGAUUUGGAUCGGCAAACAGCUCUUUCGGGUCGGGGAAUACUCGCUUCGGUGAGGACAACAAUCGAAUGGGUUCGAUGGGAAAUAACAAGUUUCCGUUGGGAAACGAUCGAUUUGGACCAAAUAAUGAUCGAUUUGGUUCAGACCCUAGUCGCUUUGGUAAUGAAUGGAUCGGUCCUGAGAGCGAUCGAUUUAAAUCCGAGGUUGGCCCGCUCGGGAUAGAUAAAAAUCGCCGCGAAACUGGCAAUGACCGAUUCGAUUCAAAAGAUGAACGAUUCGGUCCUGCAAUGGGAAUCGAUCGCUUUGAACCCAAGGAUCGUUUCUUUCCUGGCAACGAUCGUUUUGGACCCAACAGCGAACACUUCCGUCCGAACGAUCGAUUUGGUAGGAAUAAUGCGAAUUUCUUCGAAUCGAAAGACCUCCCUGAUCACAGACGAGAUAACUUUGGCGCUAAUCCUCGGAGUUUCAACAGGAAUCCUCCGUUUAGUCCGUCGAAUGAGCUUCCGCCCGAGUUAAAGAAACUCAUGGAAAAGCGGAAAGCCGCGGGGGAUGUAUUUAGACCCAGUUUCGUUGAUUCUGACAAAUCUAGUACCAUCGGUUCUCUCAGCGAAAGCUUCAAGAAAAUCGCCGGCGAUUCGCCCUUUCGAAGCUCCUUCGAUUUCCAAAAAAAUUUACCAAAUCGUAGCGGUUUAAUGGCUUUUUCAAGUGGACCGUCCAAUUUUCAUCCACAUUCUUCCUCUGAUUCAGGACAAAUUCCUUCACCAAUGUAUGGUUCACGAGGUCACUCUUUCAACAUCGAGUCUCCUUUUAAAGGACCCGUGGACAAUUUUGCCAAACGUAAUAAUCCUAUAGGCAAUGAACGACAAGGAAAAGAUAUGGAGAUAAAGGUUUCUUCGGAUGCCAAUCAACCUCAACCAACCAAUAUUCAGUCUCAAGUUCCUAUUAAACAUUCUGAAAGCAUUGAAACUGCUAAUUCCGACCCUCCAUUGCAAACUGAUGAUAAUGCAAACAAUGCAAAGGUGAUGCAAACCAACGAAGCCGAUAAUUCCAUCAUGCAAAUGGAUCUUGUCGCAGAAGGCAAUUCGAAGAAUGAUAAUUGUGAGGGUGAAUUGAUAAAGAGCGUGGAGGAAGAUAAGGCUUCUGGCAAUGAUUCUUUGCAGCAAGAUGAUAAAACGGAAAGCGACGCUGAAGAAAAGAACAACGAUAGUGACAACAAGAAGUCUGAAAGCUUGCCUUUCAUGGGUGAAAACGAUCCACGACCGGAAGACUUGAAUAUUGAGCCACCGCCAGAGCUGCCGAAUUUGGGUCCUAUCUCCACGGAUUUGAGCCAAAGCGUGCCGCUCGAUCUAAAUGAAAGCCAGAAAGAAUCAACUGACGAUCGGUGCAACGUUCGUUUUGAUCGCAGUUUCGAUUCCAGGGGAAUGGAGUUUAAACCUGACCCGCCGUUCGGUUCCCAGGGCCCGCCGAUGAUCGGAGACAAUCUUGCAUCAUCUCGUACAAUGAUGGGCCCUGCUUCGGGCGCGUUCCAACAGGGUCCUAUGGGCGUACGAUCGGGUUCACCAGAUCCUAACGCACCCAAUGAAUUUAAUUCCAAGCGAUCUAACGAUGAGCAAUAUAAUCGAGAUCGCAAGGAAUCGGCCGAGGGUUUCAACAAGCAGUUCAACCCUCGAGACCUUGCAGACGAGCGAUUUGGUCAAGCCGGCCCGCGACCACAAGGAGGUGGAAAAUUUGGUCCGAGCGAUCGGCAGCUAGGGCCGCGGGGCCCAAUCGAUUCGGCGUUUGCUCCACGGAAUCCCGGGCCGUUCGGGCUGCCGUUCAGGCCUGGGGGCGUUAACGACUGUACGGAUUUCCGAACGAUUCCUGAAAGACCGUUCGGUCCGCGAGGGCCGAACGAUGCCUCGUAUGGACUCAGAAGGCCGAGCGAUGCGACUUUCGAUACUCGACGUGUUGCCGAUGUGCCGUUCGGCCCUCUGGGGCCUAGCAGAUUCGGUAGACCAAACGAGGCGUUUGAUAAAAGACCUCUCUUUGAUAGCGGUGGACCGUUCAAUUUUCCUGGCGAAAGACCUCUAGCUCCACGUAGAUCGAACGAGGGAACGCCGAGUUCUCUUGGCUCCAGUGACGUCCCGCCCUCGAUGUUUGGUCCAAAAGACGCUCUUCAAAGUAAAGCGAAGAGCUUCAACGACAAUCGAUUCGAAUCUCGAGAUUCUAAUGACGGUCUUUGCGGACCGUCAGACUUCAAGGCCCAGGGCCCGGUGGGCAACAUAAGUGCUUCGAAACUGUCGACAGAUCGAACCGAUCCUUUCUACGAUCGCGACGAUUUCGUGCGCAGAAAUGCUUUCGUCAGAAGAGGACAGUUCGAAGACGCUGUCCCCGCUAAGAAGGCCAAGUACGAGGAAAGAUCCAAUCCGGACGAGUUCAAUAAAAGCUACUCGGGUAGAAAUGUUGAUGUAGAAGUGCAAGACAACGCCAGCGAGUACGCUAGACGCAUGCCCGUGUGCGACGCUUAUAAGAAAACGUUAGACGACGUCGGGCACGGUUCACGAUACGGGUUUAACGAUACUUGGAAGGACAAGUUCGGUAAUGACCAAAGGCUCGAUGGGGAUCAACACAAAGCUAUCGACAAAAAUGUUCCGAAUACCUUUGACGAGAGAUCGACGGGCUCAGAGCCGAAAUACGGUUCUAAUUUGUUUACGAAGCAGCCUAAACCGAGGAUCGGAGAAGAAUUCUACGUGCAAAAGCAGUUCAAUUAUAAUCACGGUGAGAUCGAUAAAAAGUACACCGCUGAAGGCUUCGCUCCGACAAAGGUGAUCGAUUACGGACAUGCGUCUCGUUCGUCAAACGUGGAACGGCAACUGUCAUCGCUUUGCUUCGACUACGGUCACGGCGAAUUCAAGCCGACGAUGGACGAUCAACAGCAACAGCAGCACAAUCAUCCGAAGAGAGAUUUCAGGAAUUGGGUGGAAAGCGAGCAGAAUCUAAAAGAAUACACGGAGAAGAUGAGAAAUUACGAAAAUAUGAAAGGCUCUACCGACAAAGCGAGAAGUUAUGAGAAUUAUUACGACGCGCGUAAAUCGGACUAUAAUAUGCGGAAAGAGCAUGAUUGGCAAUCGAAAGACAAAAAAGCCGAGGGAGAGAGAAAGGAAAACGAAGGUCAUAAGGAAAAAGGAUUCAAACCUGAAGAUCGCUUCUUCGAAUGUGAUUUUAGCAAUGAUCAGAAGAACCGCCAAAGUGAUAGAAACCUUCUCAAAGAGCGGACUCAAGAAAUAUGCGACAAUUCCCGAAAGGAAACGAAUAAAGAUAAUGACAAAGAUAACAGAUCGAAAGGAAGUAUUAGCUGGCAAGAGAGUUCGAACAAGAACGUCAUAGACACAAAGUUACAGGAUACCACCAGUCUUUCUUCAGAUACAAAGAAAAAUGUGGAAUCGACUGCGAAAACUUUGGAAUUGGCAAAACUGCCCAACUACACGAUGGUCGAUGACUUAUUGUGCCCACCAGGUCGUCAGAACAGACCACCAAAAAUAGCCGUUAUCCUCAGAGGACCACCUGGUAGUGGCAAAUCUUUUGUUGCUAAACUUAUCAAGGAUAAAGAAGUUGAGCAAGGUGGUUCUGCGCCGAGAAUAUUGAGUCUGGAUGAUUACUUCCUCGUUGAAAAGGAAGUAGAGACUAAAGACGACAAUGGCAAGAAAAUCACAGUUAAGGAAAUGGUGUAUGAAUACGAAGAGGCUAUGGAGCAGAGUUACAUAACAUCGCUUGUUAAAGCUUUCAAAAAAAAUAUAACAGAUGGAUUCUUCAAUUUCAUCAUAUUAGACUGCAUCAAUGAGAAGAUUACGGAUUACGAAGAAAUGUGGAAUUUCGCCAAAUCGAAAGGUUUCAAAGUAUACAUAUGCGAGAUGGAAAUGGAUCUACAGAUAUGCUUGAAGAGAAACAUACAUAAUCGUACCGAGGAUGAAAUUAAUCGGAUUAUAGAUUACUUUGAACCAACGCCUAGUUAUCACCAAAAGCUGGACGUAAACUCGAUGUUACAAGAGCAGGCGAUAGAGGAGGUCGAUAUGGAAGAUAGUCAAGAAAUUCAGGAACAAUCUGCCACACAAAACGAAGAUAGCGAAGACAGCCACGAGGACACUCAGGAUGCUAUUGGUGUCAGCAAAUGGGAGAAGAUGGAAGCUGAAGAUAAAUUAGAUCGACUAGAUGGAUUAGCGAAAAAGAAAAGCGAAACAAAACCGCAAACCAUGGAAGAUUUUCUCCAAGUACCUGAUUAUUACAAUAUGGAAGAUACUUCCGGUAAAAAACGGGUACGUUGGGCUGAUCUGGAAGAACGUAAGGAGCAGGAAAAGAUGCGUGCUGUCGGAUUUGUUGUUGGUCAUACCAAUUGGGAUCGCAUGAUGGAUCCAACAAAAGGCGGAAGCGCUUUGACACGCACAAAGUUUUUCUCGCUGUCGUAGAAAAUGAUAAUUUUAUAUGAGUGUUGAAAAACAAGGAAGUGAAAGAUUCAAGCGAAUAGCGCGUCUCAGUCUUUGUAUCAAAAACGUUCUGAAACUGUAUUAUAAAAACAUAAGUUAUUUCAUUUAGAAAUAAUAUUAAAAGCACAAGAGGAUAUAAAUUACUUAUAAGAGGUUACCUAUCACUUAGAGGAGGUGGCUUAGAUGUUUUUAUGUAUAAAUAACUUUAGUCUCGAGAGAAGGAGCUAACGUAAGAAAAUAUUCUUAUAAAAUAGCUAUCGCAGAAAAGGGAUUACAUAAUUUUAUUGUGGCGGCAUAGUAAUAAACGUUCGUGGCAUUCUACUUUAUGUGUUUACGCGUGUUUCUAAUUGGGUAUGUACGAAUUUCGCGUUUAAUCGCCGCUUUGUUGUUGCCAUGUCGCACAUCGUACGUGCAUAUAUUAAUUCAUCUAUGGUCGAAAGCUUGUUCUUGACACAGAUUACUACUACAACGAUUAAACUUUCAAAGCUAGGAUAGCGAUGUA
rnacentral:misc_RNA from 1 species